rnacentral:sRNA from 1 species
AGUUGUACAGGGCGAGAAAAACCUUGCCGGCUAGGGAGAGCCAAUUUGGCUCGCUUUCGACGUCAAACUUCACUCGCGUGAAAAUAUUGUCUGCGGGCGACGCGGACUUCUCCGGAAUCGCUGAUAUUCUCUCCCCGAUCAGGAGACGAACUCAUUAGCAGCAGCUCAAUCCGGAGGCGAUCUCAUCCGCGUAGACUCCUAGAUUUGAUUUCUUCUUUAUCGUCAGCUCCUAACCUCUUCUUUCUGAGAUACAUGGUGUGCUGUCUUGUUCAAUCGCUCUGUCAGGAAGUUGGUAGAGUUAGAAAAGAGCGUCUUUGAGAUCGUUUGCUUUGUGCUAGAUGCAGCCUUUGCGUUGCCAAGAUCAUUUAUUAUGAUGGUACUUGAUUAAGGAAUUCUCUUGAUUUCUCAUUUGUGAAUCCUAAAAUAUUAUGGGCCAUUUUGGUUUGAUAUCAAAAUGUUGCCAUACCAAUUUUUUGGUAGUUUAAAUAGUAAAUGUGAUGAUUUGGUUUGAAGCCAAAUAUUUUGUAAUGACUAUAUUCAAUUUGGCACAAUUCUAGAAUGUUCUUC